rnacentral:tRNA from 1 species
GGGUUUGGCUCAGUGGCAGAGCGCUUGCCUAGCACGUGUGAGGCACUGGGUUCGAUUCUCAGAACCACA